rnacentral:rRNA from 1 species
UGGGAAUAUUGGACAAUGGGGGGAACCCUGAUCCAGCCAUGCCGCGUGUGUGAAGAAGGCCUUUUGGUUGUAAAGCACUUUAAGCGAGGAGGAGGCUACUCUAGUUAAUACCUAGGGAUAGUGGACGUUACUCGCAGAAUAAGCACCGGCUAACUCUGUGCCAGCAGCCGCGGUAAUACAGAGGGUGCGAGCGUUAAUCGGAUUUACUGGGCGUAAAGCGUGCGUAGGCGGCUUUUUAAGUCGGAUGUGAAAUCCCUGAGCUUAACUUAGGAAUUGCAUUCGAUACUGGGAAGCUAGAGUAUGGGAGAGGAUGGUAGAAUUCCAGGUGUAGCGGUGAAAUGCGUAGAGAUCUGGAGGAAUACCGAUGGCGAAGGCAGCCAUCUGGCCUAAUACUGACGCUGAGGUACGAAAGCAUGGGGAGCAAACAGGAUUAGAUACCCUGGUAGUCCAUGCCGUAAACGAUGUCUACUAGCCGUUGGGGCCUUUGAGGCUUUAGUGGCGCAGCUAACGCGAUAAGUAGACCGCCUGGGGAGUACGGUCGCAAGACU